rnacentral:lncRNA from 1 species
GCUUGACAAGUUGAAAUAAUUGUUUUUUUAAUAUUUUAACCAAUUUUCCAUGUAAAAAAACUCUGGAAGUUUUUGACCAAGUUUAUAACUUCAUAUAUGGUAGAAAACAUUGAGAUAAUCAAGGAGUCAAGUGGACCCCGAUCUGAAUUUGUUUUUGUACCCACAUAUUACGUAUAGCAAAGUGUGUAUGUCUUCAGAAAGAUAAGCUCACAUUAUUCUGAGUAAUGGCUAGAGAAUUUCAUGCUAUACUUGGUGGUGGCCAGGGAGAUUAUAAUUCAGGAAUUUUAUAUUUAUUGGGAAUUAUCUUUCUGUCUCUUUCAGUUUUAUCCAUCAUCAUAUUUUCUUGUGGUGAUGACAACCAUCACAAGCAUCGAAAAAGAAGAGGUGGACGUGGUGGUAUAAGUGGAAUUGGUGGUGAUGGUGGAGGCCAUGGUGGUGGAGGAGGAGUAGACGGCGGUGGAGGCGGAGGUGGUGGCUAGAUCAAUUAUCUUUUGUACACAAAUAUACAUUGGUAUGAACAUGUAUAAAUGAAAAUUAAAUUAGUUCAUAGAGUUCUUUAAUUUCUGAGGUAAUUGAAAUUCUUGACAUGUUAGUUUUUUUUUUCUUUUUUCUUUUCUGUUUUCUUGUAAACAUGGAUAAAGCAUUCCUGAUUUCAUUUUUGUUUUUCUUCCUGUUAAGAAUGUCUAUGUAAUUAUUUAUAUGUGGAAUUUUAUGUUUUUUGUAAUCUUAUUGCAAUUAUUUAAUGUAGAAAUGCUAGUUGGGUUUGGGAUAAGAAGCCCAGAUACUAGAUAUGUGUGGAAUAUGCUUUAGCUAAUAUCAAAUGUUCAAUAAAAACACAUAAAAGUUUGAAGGAGUAUAUUCUGUUCUCCUUCCUUCAUAUAUCUUAUUGAAGAAAACAAAGAGUUCCCUUUAUUCAAAGGUAACCUUAAAAGUAAAAAUUAUUUAUCUUCAACCUAUUGCUUUUAUCAUCAAUCAUGGGACGGUUUCGGUUAGUAAAGUCCAUGGUUAAUGGUUUAUGGUAUGCUUUUGUACAUAUUCCAUGUGGAGGUAGGCAUGUCCCAUUUUCUUACUCAUGUUGGGAAACUCUAUUUGGUCAUGUGAUACUAAUACAAAAAAGAAAGUGUAAGUUCAGAUUGAAACCUAAGAGGGGUGAAUUAGGUUUCUAGGAAUAUUGGUUAAUUUUUGUAAGUUUAGCGUUCUUGAUAUGAAGGUAUGAAUGCGGAAAAAUAAAAGAGUAAGGAAAGAAGAAAAGACACAAGAGAAUUAUAGUGGUUCCCCUCUAAAUCUUAGGGUCAGUCCACUCCCUUCACACCCCGCGAAGGAAUUCACUAUGUUAGAAUCUUUGUUACAAGCAAUCUUACCCCAAGACCCCCUAACAAUCUUUCUAACAUAAACACAAGAAAUAAACCCUCUCUCUUCAUUACAACACAAACAUCAAACACUUUUUGUGGACUUUGAAUCUUCCCGAAUCAAAGAACCUUUUACAAGAUAGCACCCCCACUAUCUUAAACAAUAAUUCUAACCAACAAUGGCAAGAAACUUUAUAAAGUAGUUGAAGAAUAGCAAAUGUAUGGUUGUAUAUCUUUAUCAAUAUCUUUCUAACAAAUGGACUUAGUGCUCAGAAAACUUUCAAAUAAAUGUUAAAGUGCAGGCAAAGUUUUCCAAACAAUUUGAAUGAAAGUUUGAAGUGAUAUAGAAAAUGUCAAUUGAGACAAUGAAAGUUGUUGUGUAUAUUUAUUUUGAUUCUCAAUUGUAUUUAUAGAGGCUAAAAUAAUGUUGAUGAAACAAUACACUUUUUCGAAAAAGAGUUACCAAUGAAUAGACACUUAUUUAAAAUGAUACCUAUUCAUAAAAUAAGUGUAUGAAAUGCAUUUUAGAAAAAUAGCCGUUUGACACAAAUGAUCAAUUAUUAUUAGAAAUUUGAAAACAUGUUGAUUUUAAUUUGCAUCAUAAUUAGUUUUACUAAAAUAAACUAUAAUGCAUGUGUUUGCAAUUCAUGCGUGCCAUGAUUUCAAAGACCAAAUGCAUGCCAAAAAUAUUUUAUUAAAUAUGUUAUUUUCCAAAAGCAAUUAUGGUUUUCAUGCAAAAUCACAUUAUAUGAAAAUAACUGUAAGUGUGUGAUUUAUUUUCAAGAGAUUUUUAGACAUUAUUUCAUAUGGGGACUUAGAAAAAAAUUUAUAAUUAUUUUUUUUGCAUUCUAUUCUAAAUUGUUUUAUAAGUUAAGAAUGAUAAAUCAAAGAUAAGAACUAUCCUUACAAAAAUAUAACUUUGAAGCCUAAGUCCUAUUAUCUUCAUUCUUCAAUUUGAGCCUCCAUAAUUUUUCUUCUUUUGUGAUGUGAGUUACAAAAAUAUAACUUUGAUUUUUUAAGAAAAAUUAAAAUGUGUGCGUGAAAGUGCAAAUUGUUAACCGCAACAAAUUCAAAUCCUCUCGAAAAAGGGUCUUGUCCUUUUUAUCGAUUCAUGUCUUUAAUGAUCUUGUUAUGCUUAAACACUUUGAUCUGGUUCUUUUCAAAAUCAGUAGGUCUGUUUUAUUAUUAUGAGGAACAAAACUAUCACAUCAUGCACAAUCUUCUAUUAGGUCUUCUUUAAAAGCUUAUCUAGGCUCAGUUAUGGACAACGUAACUUGGCUUUUUAGUGAUAGUUCCACAAUCUCAUGUUGGCAAAUAAAUGGCUUGAUGAACCAGUUACUGAUUUAUCUCAUAUUCCCAUGCAUCUUCAUCGAUUGUUAAAGAUUAAAAUCUACGGCCCAAGACUUCAUCUUGUGUGUAAUGGUGAAGAUUUUGGGGAACUUAACUUGAAAAGUUCUUAUGAUUUUCUUAAUUCCCCUUAUCAACCUUCUUAUUGGGGGAAAAGCCAUUUUGACUACAUCCGUUUCACGUAGCAAAAAAGUGCUUAUGAAGUUAUAAGACACCGUAGGUUCUUCCACUUAAAAUCCUUAAUGGUUGCAAAAAAAGUCCAUUACAUAUAUACGAGUCUCACAAUAGUAUAUAGUAAGUAAAUGGGUUAAUAGUGUUUUCCACCCCUGUAAUAUAUGUCAAUUCUUGUUUUCGCCCCUAUAAAAUUUUUGGUUUGAUUUGCAUCCUCGUAAAAUUUUUAUUUUCCAGAAAACACCCCUAAUAGGCCAUUUUCAGAAUUUUUUUUCAAGAAAUUUUGGUUUUUGAAUGGCCUAUUAAGGGUGUUUUUCGAAAAAUAAAAAUUUUACGAGGGUGCAAAUCAAACCGAAAAUUUUAUAGGGACGAAAACUGGAAAUGACAUAUAUUACAGAGGUGAAAAACACUAUUAACCCUAAGUAAAUUAUCAAAUUAGCUAUGAUUUUAUAGAGCGCUUUCAAAUAAAUCUAUGAGAUUAGGAGUAUUUCAAAAGAGUUAUCAACUCUAUCAAACUAUCAAGCUGAUUCUUAUAUUUAACUACUCAUAAUCAAUUAGAUCUUUAUAUUUUAACAAUUUACUAUCAAUUUGGUUAUUAUAUUUAAUCAUUAUCAAUUUAGUUUAUAACAUACUCUUAGAUGAACAAAUGUGAGUUACAUUUAACACAAUCAAAUAACUUUUUGAAUCAUAAUAUCAAUAACUUAUUUGAAUGCGAAGUCAGAGACGAAUUUAACGGUGUGUGUGACAACAAGACACCUAUAUGUGUGACAACGAGACAUAACAUCACACAUAAAGUAUACUAAAAUGUUAACAAUUUAACUUUACUUGAUCAAUGUUGUGCAUUGUCAAAGACCAUUUUAGAAUAUCUAUGAAGCAAGUAACAAAAUCAGCUACAAAAUUUGAUUACAAUAUUCAACAACAUCAUACAUAUAUACACAAGUUAUUCAGGGACUCUACAAAAUUCCGAAAGAAAACAAAACAGAGAAGAGCCGUAGAAGAACCUAAGUGGGAUAUAAAGCUCACACAAGCUUAACAGCUUUAAGCUUCUGGGCUAUAUAUCAACUUCUAAUUGUGGAGCUAUAUACCUUUCCCACGACCCGAACAUGAAAACGCCGCCGCAAUAAUUUUGAUUAUCCUUAACUUGAUUUGCCCUCUCCUUGGUGGGAACAUUUGAGUGGAUUUACUACUCUGUUUGGCUUCUUCAAACUCUGCUGCUAAAGCUGAAGAACAAAUUGGGGUGUGAAAUUGCAUAAUUAGAAUACACAAUUGAAGAACUAGAGUUUUUGUUAAUGCAGUAACUGGCACUGAUAAGGAAUAGAAGAAAUGAAGAGAAACUUUAGAAUUGCAGUGAAAAUGGGAUGGGAGUGAGGGUGCGCUAUAAAAAGACAAAAGGCAGAGAGUGUGGGAACUAACUAGACAACUGUAGCAGGCGUGUCCUCCAAGAUUCCUAUUUCUU